rnacentral:lncRNA from 1 species
GGGAAAGGCAACGAUGUUGCUUUGCCAGAAUCUAAUACAAUUUUAGGUAUAAAUUUAUAUAAAAUUGACUCUAGAAUGAGGAACAUGUCCCAGUCUAUAAUUCAAAAGGUAAACUAGUGACAACAGUAUAGCCAGGUACAUAGUCAUUACUCAUGACUUUAUUACAUCCAAUAUGUACAAGCAUAGAAGUAUCCAAAUGGGACUAAUAAGGUCCUAAUGUUGCAGAGUAAGCAGUGUGUGAGAGACCAUUGCUUGAAGGAGUACUCUGCUAGAAGUGGUACAAGCCAUCUUCAAGUUUCUCACUCUAAUCAUUGUCUAUGUAGAGAGGUCUUGGAUGAAGCAGCAAUUGAAGAUAAAUGUUAAGUAGUAAUAACAAGAAAAAAUGAGUUUCCUAGCAGAAAUCAAAUUACAUUUGAAAGAAGGAACGCAUAAGCACAUUCGUUAAGGUAAGGGUUUUAGAUAACUUCACCAUUCAUAUAUGAGUCACAAGAGCAAUAUCUCCACUAUGAAGUUUAACAGUGGUAUUUACUACAGUAGUAAUGGUGAGUAAUAGAACAGAUCAUGUGAUCUGUGGCACUUGUGUCAAUGAUCCACUUUUCCUCUCUGUUUGGAACAGCCAAACAAAAAUGGUUACCUGAAAAAGCUAGGGUAUCUAGCAUGGUUGGUACUUGUGGUGAAGAAAAUUGCAAGCUAACAAGUAGACUAACUCCUAGA